GCUGUAAUAGCUCAAUGGUAGAGCCCCGGUUUUGUAAACCGGUCGUUGGAGGUUCAAGUCCUCUUUACAGCUCAA
rnacentral:tRNA from 1 species